CGUAGGUAACCGUAGCCCAAGAGACUGGGAUAACACCUGGAAACAGAUGCUAAUACCGGAUAACAACACUAGACGCAUGUCUAGAGUUUAAAAGAUGGUUCUGCUAUCACUCUUGGAUGGACCUGCGGUGCAUUAGCUAGUUGGUAAGGUAACGGCUUACCAAGGCAAUGAUGCAUAGCCGAGUUGAGAGACUGAUCGGCCACAUUGGGACUGAGACACGGCCCAAACUCCUACGGGAGGCAGCAG
rnacentral:rRNA from 1 species